UCUGGUUUGUCAGGACCCUGAAAACGGUACCAUUUGAGGUACAUAAAACAUCUGCCAUACCCAGCACUAGCUUAGGUCUACCGUGGCAAUAUCUAAAGUAUCCACCACUCCUGGUACCAGAUAACUGAGAUGGAUGAAGUCUGGGUCGUCUAUUUGUGUAUGGUUCCGUUUGUCAUCGUCCUUAUUUUGAUGAAGCAGAAGCCAGAUGAUGAAAUCAGGAAAGAGACGGAGACGCCAAGCGCCUCUGCUUCAACCUCAUCCUACUCUAGCAGUUCUGGAAGUCGUAUGGAAUGCACUGAGGAGGAGAUGGAAGUGUCCCUGAAGCGACUAACCAGCAUCUUGUUCCAUGCUGAUGCACGGAGGAGGGAACCCCAUCACGAGCACAACACCUCUGCCCAUCAGAAAGACCCAGCAGGAAAGGAGCUAGGAGAAUCCCAGCCUCAGCUGAGUCAGAGGAGAAUUCAGGUCUGAAAUGACUGAUGAAUUUUUGAUAGCAGCAUAUGGUUCAGUUCCCACUGUGUGCUGGUAGAGGCUUGAAGCAAAUCUCACACCUUCUCCAGAAGGAAGAGGCUUUCAAAGAAAGGAAAACAACAGGAUGUCUGUUUGCUCUUCCCACUUCCUCUAACAGAAACUGUGAUUUUGACCUAACAGUUAGGUUACUCUUGUGUGUUUCACUAAAGGCAAAUAUACUGCUCCUAAGGCUGUUAAGUGCCCUCACUGUUCCCUGACCUUGCUGAACAAAUUCCUCUUCCCCCACUAGGUGGUUUUUAUAGCUGCAGGCUUAAACUCUGUCCCACCUGUGCUCACAACAAUAUGGUUCCCUGGAAACUCCCUAGACAUAGAGGUUCCUACUGUGUCCCUGUGACUGACAAACUGUUACUGGAAAGUGUAUGUGAGAGAAAGAAAGAGAUUGAGAAAAAUAAUCCUCAGAAUGGGGGUGAACUUCAGGCCUGGGGAUGGGAGGGAAAUGCAACCCUCCAAGUCCAUUGGAAUUCUCCAAGCACCUUAUCUUCUCAGGCCUUGCCCCUCACCUGGUUGUUUUCACCUGGCUGGAAAUGCAUCCUUGAACUCUGAUGAUGGCUGAAAGCAGGAUGUGGAAGCAUGUGUAAAAGUUUACAUCUGUUGCUCCACCCAUUUUUGCUUCUGGCCCCGCAUACCAG